rnacentral:rRNA from 1 species
GAGACGUGAUGCGUAGCCGUUUGAGGCGAAGUAGAGUGAUCCUAUGCUGCCGAGAAAAGCCUCUAGUGAGUGCAUGCACGGCCCGUACCCCAAACCAACACAGGUGGUCAGGUAGAGAAUACCAAGGCGAUCGGGUGAACUGUGGUUAAGGAACUCGGCAAAAUGCCCCCGUAACUUCGGGAGAAGGGGGGCCAAACAUCCUGAAGCUCUUCGCGAGCUAGGGGUGGGUGGCCGCAGAGACCAGCGGAAAGCGACUGUUUACUAAAAACACAGGUCCAUGCGAAGUCGCAAGACGAUGUAUAUGGACUGACGCCUGCCCGGUGCUGGAACGUUAAGAGGACCGGUUAACUCCUUCGGGGGUGAAGCUGAGAAUUUAAGCGCCAGUAAACGGCGGUGGUAACUAUAACCAUCCUAAGGUAGCGAAAUUCCUUGUCGGGUAAGUUCCGACCUGCACGAAUGGCGUAACGACUUUCCGGCUGUCUCAACCACAGGCCCGGCGAAAUUGCACUACGAGUAAAGAUGCUCGUUACGCGCGGCAGGACGGAAAGACCCCGGGACCUUUACUAUAGUUUGGUAUUGGUUUUCGGUUCGGCUUGUGUAGGAUAGGUGGGAGACUGUGAAGUGGUCACGCUAGUGGCUGUGGAGUCGUUGUUGAAAUACCACUCUGGUCGAAUUGGGAAUCUGAACCUCGGGCCAUGAUCUGGUUCAGGGACAGUGCCUGAUGGGUAGUUUAACUGGGGCGGUUGCCUCCUAAAGAGUAACGGAGGCGCCCAAAGGUUCCCUCAGCCUGGUUGGCAAUCAGGUGUUGAGUGCAAGUGCACAAGGGAGCUUGACUGUGAGACAGACAUGUCGAGCAGGGACGAAAGUCGGGACUAGUGAUCCGGCACCUCCUGGUGGAAGGGGUGUCGCUCAACGGAUAAAAGGUACCCCGGGGAUAACAGGCUGAUCUUGCCCAAGAGUCCAUAUCGACGGCAUGGUUUGGCACCUCGAUGUCGGCUCGUCGCAUCCUGGGGCCGGAGUAGGUCCCAAGGGUUGGGCUGUUCGCCCAUUAAAGCGGCACGCGAGCUGGGUUUAGAACGUCGUGAGACAGUUCGGUCCCUAUCCGCCGCGCGCGUAGGAUACUUGAGGAAGGCUGUCCCUAGUACGAGAGGACCGGGACGGACGAACCUCUGGUGUGCCAGUUGUUCUGCCAAGGGCAUGGCUGGUUGGCCACGUUCGGAAGGGAUAACCGCUGAAGGCAUCUAAGCGGGAAGCCUGUUCCAAGAUGAGGUAUCCCACCCCAUGUGGGUUAAGGCCCCCAACAGACCAUUGGGUUGAUAGGCCAGAAAUGGAAGCACAGUAAUGUGUUGUCGAGUUGACUGGUACUAAUAGGCCGAGGACUUGCCU